rnacentral:rRNA from 1 species
UACGGGGGGAGCAAGCGUUGUUCGGAUUUACUGGGCGUAAAGGGCGCGUAGGCGGCGCAACAAGUCACUUGUGAAAUCUCCGGGCUUAACUCGGAGCGGUCAAGUGAUACUGUCGUGCUAGAGUGCAGAAGGGGCAACUGGAAUUCUCGGUGUAGCGGUGAAAUGCGUAGAUAUCGAGAGGAACACCUGCGGCGAAGGCGGGUUGCUGGGCUGACACUGACGCUGAGGCGCGAAAGCUAGGGGAGCGAACGGG